rnacentral:rRNA from 1 species
UACAGAGGGUGCAAGCGUUAAUCGGAAUUACUGGGCGUAAAGCGUGCGUAGUCGGUUAUUUAAGUCGGGCGUGAAAGCCCCGGGCUCAACCUGGGAAUGGCAUUGGAAACUGGCCAGCUGGAGUGUGGCAGAGGGGGUGGAAUUCCGGCGUGUAGCAGUGAAAUGCGUAGAGAUGCGGAGGAACACCGAUGGCGAAGGCAGCCCCCUGGGCCAACACUGACGCUCAGGCACGAAGCGUGGGGAGCAAACAGG